GUCUGAGUGAAGGUAUACUCAGUCUGACCUGCCCGCUGACAAUUUUUGUUGAAGAGCCGCGGUAUCCAUAACCGUGCGAAGGUAGCAUAAUCAAUUGCCUUUUAAUUGAAGGCUGGUAUGAAUGGUUGGAUGAGAAGCUAGCUGUCUCUUUAAUGUAAAUUGAAUUUUACCUUUAAGUGAAAAGGCUUAAAUGUCACGGGGGGACAAUAAUACCCUAUAAAGCUUUACAACUACUUUACUUGCUCUUGAAUUGAGGUGUAAGGGGAGCAAGGAUUGAGUGUUGUUGCGUUGGGGCGACAAAAAUAUAAUUUAGUAACUGUUCUUGGAAUAAAAUGGUUGUGCUCAGCUGAAAUGACCCUCUAUUAGGGAUUAUAAGAUUAAGUUACUUUAGGGAUAACAGUGUUAUUUCCUUUGAGAGUUCAUAUUGACAAGGUAAGUUGCGACCUCGAUGUUGAAUUAAGGUUUCGUUCUGGUGUAGGAGCUUGAAUUGUGGGUCUGUUCGACCUUUAAAACCUU
rnacentral:rRNA from 1 species